rnacentral:rRNA from 1 species
ACAGUCACUGACAUUAGAUACCCCGGUAGUCCAGGGUGUAAACGCUGCAGACUUGGUGUUGGAGGCCCUUUGGGGGCAUUCAGUGCCGGAGAGAAGUUGUUAAGUCUGCUACUUGGGGAGUACGUCCGCAAGGAUGAAACUUAAAGGAAUUGGCGGGGGAGCACCGCAACGGGAGGAGCGUGCGGUUUAAUUGGAUUCAACACCGUAAAACUCACCAGGGAAGACUGUUACAUGAAGGCCGAGCUAAAGACUCUGCUAGAUUUUCAG